rnacentral:misc_RNA from 1 species
GUAGGUGAACCUGCGGAAGGAUCAUUCGCACGUAUCCAACGUUAAACAACCCUGUGAACCUUGAACGUGCUCUCGUACACGCUCUAGCAGCAAUCCCUGGUAAAUCAUUGUUGACCAGCUAUUGAGUCUGGGACUUCUGCUAGAAAACCAUACGAUACGAGCGCCAGAGUAAGUGCGGCCUGGCAUCCUAGCAAUCUGUCAGUGGUUGCGCAAGGAUGGCGCAGUAAACGAUCGCUGUAGGCCCACACGGCCGGCGACCGGGCCUCCGUGCUUCGGCACCUAAUGACACCAGUUUUCUGACCCGGUGCGCUGUCCACAAACUCGAACAACUGUUAACAAUGGAUAUCUUGGUUCUU